ACUUUUUCCGGCCUUUUAGAAUAAGUGACCUGAGGAAAGUUGAUCUAGUAAAAGCAUGUGAAUACUUCAACAGCUGUUUUAAGGACCCAUCGACUUUUACAGUUGUGAUAGCUGGGAAUAUUGAUCCCUCGAUUGCAGUUCCUCUAAUUUUGCAAUAUUUGGGUGGAAUACCAAAGUCUUCGGAAGACAUAUUUCUUUACAACCGUGAUGAUCUCAAAGGAUUACCAUUUAAAUUUCCCAAAGCCGUAAUUAGGUGGUACGCAGAGCCAUGGUAGAAGCACAAUGUUCAGUCCAGCUAUGCUUUCCUGUGGUGUUGAAUAAUGGGACAACGGCAUGUGAGGAAGAAGAGAUUCAAUGUGUCGGUUUCCCGGGCAAACUUAUUGAAACAUAACUACUGCAAGUUCUUCAUUUUAAGUAUGGGCAGAUUUACUCUGCAUGUGUUUCUGUGUUCUUGGUGGCAAUAAACCUUCUAGAAUUGGUGAUGUUUGUGGAGAUAUAAGUAUAAACUUUUCUUGUGAUCCAGAAAUGUCCUCAAAGUUGGUUGAUCUUGCUUUGGAUGAAGUAGUACGUCUUCAAGAAGAAGGGCCUACAGAUCAGGAUGUUGCAACCGUGCUUGAAAUUGAGCAGAGUGCCCAUGAAGAUGGACUGCAGGAAAAUUAUUUCUGGCUGGAGACAAUUAUGAGAAGCUACCAAUCAAGGGUCUACUAUGGUGAUGUUGACACUUCCUUCAAGGUG